CUUUCUUUGCUGGCGACCGGCGCACGGGUGAGUAACACGUAUCCAACCUGCCCUUUACUCGGGGAUAGCCUUUCGAAAGAAAGAUUAAUACCCGAUAGCAUAAUGAUUCCGCAUGGUUUCAUUAUUAAAGGAUUCCGGUAAAGGAUGGGGAUGCGUUCCAUUAGGUUGUUGGUGAGGUAACGGCCCACCAAGCCUUCGAUGGAUAGGGGCUCUGAGAGGAAGGUCCCCCACAUUGGAACUGAGACACGGUCCAA
rnacentral:rRNA from 1 species